rnacentral:rRNA from 1 species
UACGUAGGUGGCAAGCGUUGUCCGGAUUUACUGGGCGUAAAGAGCGCGCAGGCGGUCGUUCAAGUCGCGUGUGAAAGCCCCCGGCUCAACUGGGGAGGGUCACGCGAUACUGAUCGACUCGAAGGCAGGAGAGGGAAGUGGAAUUCCCGGUGUAGUGGUGAAAUGCGUAGAUAUCGGGAGGAACACCAGUGGCGAAGGCGGGUUGCUGGGCUGACACUGACGCUGAUGCGCGAAAGCCAGGGGAGCGAACGGG